GCCAUUCUAGUAUAGUGGUUAGUACAGCUCGUUGUGGCCGUGCAGACCCAGGUUCGAUUCCUGGGAAUGGCA
rnacentral:tRNA from 2 species